rnacentral:rRNA from 1 species
AUUGAACGCUGGCGGCAGGCCUAACACAUGCCAGUCGAGCGGAUGAAGGGAGCUUGCUCCUGGAUUCAGCGGCGGACGGGUGAGUAAUGCCUAGGAAUCUGCCUGGUAGUGGGGGAUAACGUCCGGAAACGGGCGCUAAUACCGCAUACGUCCUGAGGGAGAAAGUGGGGGAUCUUCGGACCUCACGCUAUCAGAUGAGCCUAGGUCGGAUUAGCUAGUUGGUGGGGUAAAGGCCUACCAAGGCGACGAUCCGUAACUGGUCUGAGGGGAUGAUCACUCACACUGGAAGGUGAACACCGUCCAGACUCCUGCGAGAGGCAGCAGUGGGGAAUAGUGGACAAUGGGCGAAAGCAUGAUCCAGCCAUGCCGCGUGUGUGAAGAAGAUCUUCGGAUUGUAAAGCACGUUAAGUUGGGAGAAAGGGCAGUAAGUUAAUACCUUGCUGUAUUGACGUUACCAACAGAAUAAGCACCGGCUAACUACGUG